rnacentral:rRNA from 1 species
AGCAGCCGCGGUAAUUCCAGCUCCAAUAGCGUAUAUUAAAGUUGUUGCAGUUAAAAAGCUCGUAGUUGAAUUUCGGGAUCAGUACGCUGGUCGUGCCUUUGGUAUGUACUGGUGUCACUGAUUCCUCCCUUCUGAAGAACCGUUAUGCCAUUUAUUUGGUGUGGCGGGGAAUCAGGACUGUUACUUUGAAAAAAUUAGAGUGUUUAAAGCAGGCUCGCGCUUGAAUACAUUAGCAUGGAAUAAUGAAAUAGGACGUUUGAUCUUAUUUUGUUGGUUUCUAGGAUCGACGUAAUGAUUAAUAGGGAUAGUUGGGGGCAUUAGUAUUCAAUUGUCAGAGGUGAAAUUCUUGGAUUUAUUGAAGACUAACUACUGCGAAAGCAUUUGCCAAGGAUGUUUUCAUUAAUCAAGAACGAAAGUUAGGGGAUCGAAGACGAUCAGAUACCGUCGUAGUCUUAACCAUAAACU